rnacentral:lncRNA from 1 species
CCAAGCAGUGGUCUCUGCCACGACAUCUCCUCAGCUCAUGCCGAGCCAGCUCCUGGCCCCUGCCAGCCGACGUGCCGCACUACCCCGACGGCUACCCCACAAUAGCACUAUCCAAGAAUAAGGCAAGAAAAAUUAAAUUUUUCUUACAUUGGUGCGGCACGAAAAAGACGAAGAAAGCAACGAAAGACGGUCUUUUGCACGGGCAAGAUGUAGAAGAUUGCUAGAGGAGGGGGAACAAAUAUCCUCUAAUCUAUCUCUCUCUUGUAGGGUAGAAUAAAUCGUUCUCCAAAGUUGAUUUAAUAACCCACUUAAGGUGGACUUAAAUAGGCUUUGAGAGAAAUUUAUUUCCCUUUC